UAUAGCUUGAAGCUUUGGACAGCAUUAACAAACAUCUCAAAUUUGAUACAAAUAUCCAUACCUCUUUCAUCUGGAUAUCAGACCUUGGAAAAUGAUUCAUAAACUAGGAGGAAUGUUUUUGUUAGUGUGUUUAUUUGUCGUUGCUGUACAUGUGAACAGCGAAGAAGGGCCCUGUUACAAAUGUACAGAAAUAUUCAGGGGCUGUCAUGCUUACUACAAAUGUGAAGGACAUCCGUUUGAGGACAGAUGCCGGAAAUUUUGUAAUGAUCAGUUUACCAGAUGUAUGGACUCUUGUAAGGCAAACCUUACACCGUUGAAAUAGCAAUUCUAAAUGUUAUCAUUCUGUAGUGAAAGGUACAGAAAUAUGUAUAUUCAUUGCCUAAAAUACGUAUCUUUUUUCCUCUUAAAUAACAUAAAUUAUAUUAAUAAAUAUGUUAUACUAUAAGAUAGUCAUUGCCUAAAAGAUGUUUAUCUUUUGCUGCUAAAACACCAUAAAUUAUGCUAAUAAAUCUGAUAUACAACAGUUACUAAA